GUGGGGAAUAUUGGACAAUGGGGGGAACCCUGAUCCAGCCAUGCUGCGUGUGUGAAGAAGGCCUUUUGGUUGUAAAGCACUUUAAGCGAGGAGGAGGCUACCGAGAUUAAUACUCUUGGAUAGUGGACGUUACUCGCAGAAUAAGCACCGGCUAACUCUGUGCCAGCAGCCGCGGUAAUACAGAGGGUGCAAGCGUUAAUCGGAUUUACUGGGCGUAAAGCGCGCGUAGGUGGCCAAUUAAGUCAAAUGUGAAAUCCCCGAGCUUAACUUGGGAAUUGCAUUCGAUACUGGUUGGCUAGAGUAUGGGAGAGGAUGGUAGAAUUCCAGGUGUAGCGGUGAAAUGCGUAGAGAUCUGGAGGAAUACCGAUGGCGAAGGCAGCCAUCUGGCCUAAUACUGACACUGAGGUGCGAAAGCAUGGGGAGCAAACAGGAUUAGAUACCCUAGUAGUCC
rnacentral:rRNA from 1 species